GGGGCUGUGGCUCAGUGGCAGAGCCUCUGCUUCGCAUGCAGAAGGUCUCCGGUUCAACCCCUGGCAGCUCCA